UCCCUACUAGCUCAGUCAGUAAAGAAUCUGCCUUCAAUGCAGGAGACCCAGAUUUGAUCCCUGGGUUGGGAA
rnacentral:tRNA from 1 species